rnacentral:rRNA from 1 species
UACAGAGGUCUCAAGCGUUGUUCGGAAUCACUGGGCGUAAAGGGUGCGUAGGCCGCACGGAAAGUCAGAGGUGAAAUCCCGGAGCUCAACUUCGGAAUUGCCUCCGAUACUCCCGCGCUUGAGGACUGGAGAGGAGUCUGGAAUUCACAGUGGAGCAGUGAAAUGCGUAGAUAUUGUGAGGAACACUAGUGGCGAAGGCGAGACUCUGGACAGUUCCUGACGCUGAGGCACGAAGGCCAGGGGAGCAAACGGG